rnacentral:rRNA from 1 species
GACGAACGCUGGCGGCGUGCUUAACACAUGCAAGUCGAACGGAAAGGCCCUGCUUUUUUGGUGUGCUCGAGUGGCGAACGGGUGAGUAACACGUGAGUAACCUGCCCUAGACUUUCGGAUAACUUCAGGAAACUGGGGCUACUCUCGGAUAGGAUCUCCUGCUGCAUGGUGGGGAUUGGAAAUUUCGGGCGGUUGGGGAUGGAUUCGCCGAUGAUCACCUUGCUGGUUGGGUAGUGGUAUACCAAGGGUUUGACGGGUCGCCGGCCUGGGAGGGUGAACGGGCUCCUGGCGACUGAGAUACGGAGCAGUCUCCUACGGGAGGCAGCAGGGGGGAAUAUUGCACAACGGGCGGAAGCCUGUUGAAGCAGCGCCGCGUGCGGGAUGACGGCCUUCGGGUUGUAAACCGCUUUCGCCUGUGACGAAGCGUUAGUGACGGUAAUGGGUAAAGAAGCACCGGCUAACUACGUG